UCUCCUGGGCAUGCUCUGCUCUUCUUUCACAAUCGUCAACUGACUAUGUGACAACGGUGUCAUGAAGUAUGCUGAACCUCUAUGACCACACCAAAGAGAAGGCGAUUCGGGAUGGAUGACUUGUCCGAGGUCAUACAGCCAGCAACGGAGAUGGGUAGCCCUGGCCUCCAGGCAGCCACAAGCCCAGCUCUUUUUCAUCUCAUCAUCCUUUUUGUAUUUUACCCCACCAAGUUGCAGAUGCUACCAUGAUGCCAACCUCACUUUCCUGGGCAGGUGACCUCACCAAUGUGUCCCAGAAUCUAACCACCACCCCCCAAAGCCCUGCCCCACUGAGGAAAAACAGAAACAGGCUGGGGAUAUGGAUCAACCUGCCAAUACUCAUGUUCUAUGGAGAAGCAAUUAUAGAAGCCAGACCUCCCAACUUCUGCACCCCAAAAAGAAGUUUGGUCCAUUCUCCCAAAGAGGGGUACAGAAUAGGGAAACUUCCAAUCAAAGGGAUGGGACACGGAACUGUAGUGGUGGGAACGGUGUGGAAUUGUACCCCCGUUAUCUUACAAUCUUGUUAAUCAUUAUUAAAAAAGUAAUAAGCAGA